AAUGCAUUCGUCACUCUCCCUUCCGAAUCUUUAUGGGAAUACAUCCAACUCCAUAACUCGUAAAUAUUACCGCCAUCCGCCAUUUUUUUUUUAGAAUUUUUUUCGGAAUUUUUUUUUGGAAAUUUUCGUGGAAAUUGUUUUGGAAAUUUUUUGGGAAUUUUUUUUUUUAUAAUUUUUCUGGAAUUUUUUUUCUCAAAAUUUUUUUUCUUCUUUUCCUUUGUGUGUUUUGAGAGAGUGAGUUGUGAGAAAUGACAUAUAUAUAGAAACAUUUUCGAGCUUGGUAGGUGAAGUAUAACAAUGAUUUUACUAGGAAAAUUUUACUAGGGUUUUACAUCUCUCUUACAUCGGUUUUACAAGGAAUUUACAACGAAAUUAGACAAUUCAAAGCACACUGAAUACACGUUUUCACCAAUAAAUAACGGUAACAUGUUUCGUCGUAAUAUCCUCGUAAAUUUAUGACGAAUUUUGUUUGCGACGUACUUUCGUCGUAAAUGUACAUUGUAUUUACGACGAAACUUUUUCCUUGUAAUUUUACGUCUACGUUACGACGAAUUUCUAUUUCGUCGUAACAUCCUCGU
rnacentral:lncRNA from 1 species